ensembl:misc_RNA 7SK 7SK RNA
GGAUGUGAGGGCAAUCUGGCUGUGACAUCUGUCACCCCAUUGAUUGCCAGGUUUGAUUCAGCUGAUCUGGCUGGCUAGGCAGGUGUCCCCUUCCUCCUUCACUGUUUGUGUGUUCCUUCCAAAGCUGCAUGCUUGGUCGAAGAGAAUAACCUUCCCCCGAUAGCAGAGGACUGCUCUUCGGUCAAGGGUAUAUGAGUAGCUGCAGUCCCCUGCUAGAACCUCCAAACAAGCUAUUAAUUACACAAGGCUGUCUCUGAGGAACCUAGUUAACCUGUAAUUAAUUACCUAGUUUUAUU